AAAUUUCUUCUGUAGGAAAACCAGACCCUCCGUAUGGGGGUUUAGCUAUGUGCCCUUUUGAAGAUCGAGCCACGCUGAGUUGGACAUCCGGCUUCAAUGGCGGGUCUAGUCAAACAUUUAUAGUUGGUAUACGGACAGAUACGCAGAACAGCAUAACAAUCGACAGAAAUAUUAACCAGUCUGACCCAGGACGUGGCCAAAGUGUUACUACAACAGUUACAGGUCUGACAGCUGACACAAAGCAUUUCUUCACUGUAUAUGCUGUUAAUGAAUUUGGGAUCUCAUCUUUGGUCCAGGAAGUUAACUGUACAACACAAGCACGUCCAUCUCUAGCCGAAAGUACAAAUGUAGCAGCAGUUGUCUUGCCGGUCACUGGUGUUCUUAUACUGCUGUUGACAGUUGGUGUCUUGAUUUUUGUCAGACGAAACCGGCAACUGUGCUGUAUGUAAGUAUAUGUACUGUAGAUAGGAAAUUGUGCUGCACGUACUUGGAAAUGCUGAACCUACUGCAUGUGCUGUAUGUAAGUAAAUGUGGUGUACGUGAGUAAAUGUUCUGAUAGUAAGAUGAUGUAGAUAAGUUAAUGUGAUGUAGGUAUGUAACUGUGGUGUAGGUAAGUGAAUAUAUUGUAGGUAAGUAAAUGCUCUGUAUAUAAAUGUGCUGUUAGUAUGUACACGUGUUUAAGCUAAAUAAAUGUGCUAUAUGUAUGUAAAUGUGCUGUGGGUAUGUAAAUUUGCUGUAGUUAUGCAAAUGUGGUUUAUGUUCGCAAAUGCAAUGUAGGUAUGUACAUUUGUUUUGUAAGUAAAUGUGGGGUAUGUAUGUAAAUGUGUUCUAAGUAUGCAAAUGUGCUGUAGGUAUGCAAAUGUGAUGUAGCUUUGCAAAUGUGUUGUAAGUAUGCAAAUGUCCUGUAGGUAGGUACAUGUAUUGUAUGUUCUUAAAUGUGCAGUAGGCAUGAACAUUUCUUGCAGGUAUGUAAAUGUGCUAUAGGUAUGCACAUUUGCUCUAGGUAUGAUAUUAUGUCAUACGUAUGUAAAUGAUUUAUUGGUACAUGUAGGUAUACUUAUUAUUAUUUUGAUACGUCAGCAUACCUUUUAAUUGUGAUGACAGAUGAUUUUUGUUUGUAAAUGCGUAUUUGUCGGUUUAAAAUGUAGGAUUACCUUGACAGAAACACCAAGCGUCAUGGGAUCAAAAACGUAAAUAUGGUUAUCUGUUUAGCAUUCAGAUAAAGUAAUCAAAGCAGCAGCAUUAUUGAAACGAGUUAGCUUUGAAACAAACGCUUGCUCUUGAUCAUGGCAACAUUUCUUAUCUUUCAGAAAUUGUCAACUUCCAAAGCAGACGGAAUCGCAGAAUGUUCAACUUUCAGAUAGAGACGGAAACCCUGAUAGGAAUAAUGAACGGUAAGACUGCAUUCAGAAAAAAAAUUGAAUAAUGCUACAUUUGUAAAAAAAAAAAAAAAUUAAAUCACGUGACCGUCAUUAUUCAUGUUUGUAUUUUUUACGCAGAUCUCCAUAUCAACAACUUGAUCCAAAUGACAUUGCUAAGCCGUCCGUAUAUUCUGAACUUGGAGGGAUUCAGCACAUUUACCAAAACGAUACAGUCGGUGAUGGAGAGGGCGGACAGUACCAGUCUUUGGAGGAACGCUCCGAUCCGAACGCCUAUGAUGAACUUCACAGUUCAGCAUCCGGCGAUAAAGGAACAUAUGUCAAUACCGUCAUCGGCGGAAACAGGAAAUACUGAUACGGACGAGAAAAUGUUUACAGAAGAUAUACAACAUGUCGUAUGGCAUACUGAAUUGUAUGUAAAUUAAACAGAAAUAUUUGUAAUCUGCUGAGAACCGCGUCUGAAAUGUUCUGGAUUUGAAUAGAACAAAUAUUGCCAGCUUCUUAUCAGGCAAAACAAGUACGUCGACAGAUGAAGAUCAUAACCAGUAUAAAAGAACAGGAUACGAAUGUUGUUUUGUUACAAAACGUUAUACCUUUAUAGCCGCUGACUUGUCAUAUGUCAAAUGUAAAACAAGUACGUCGACAGAUGAAGAUCAUAACCAGUAUAAAAGAACAGGAUACGAAUGUUGUUUUGUUACAAACCGUUAUACCUUUAUAGCCGCUGACUUGUCAAAUGUAUAUCAUAGAACAAAACAGCGCUGUGGGAAGGUGGUACUUACCCAGUCAUCCCGUCAAUGUAUCCGGUGUCUGUACAUUAACAGGAAACUAUAUCGGGAAUACCUCGAUAACUAUUUGAUGUUUUUCAUUCGACAAUUUGUUAUAUUUUGCAGCCAGUUAAAGAUUCACUACUGUUAGAUAACCAUUCAACUUGGUUUUACUGAUUUUCCGUAUCAUGCUAAAGUUCCCUUCUUUUCUGAACUUGUGCCUAUUCCAAGACUGUAUAACUAAAAUGUGAAAUGCUGCCAUUCUUAAAGAAACGGAUUGAUCAAGUCCAAUAGUGACAUUAUAAACAUUUUAAGAAUGUUGACCGGUAUUCAAAAACAACGGUAGAGAAUUCGUAGUAGAAAAGCCAUCACAUUGAGAAACACACUUGAAGACAUACAUACAGCUUUUAAGCACCGAUAUUGCAUAGAGAAAUGUGAGAAGUGAUUUCCUUAUGCAUUUCAUUGUUUGCUUAUCAAAAAUAAAAUAUAGUUAUUAU